rnacentral:rRNA from 1 species
GGAUAACUUACCCUUUAGGACUGGGAUAACUCUGGGAAACUGGGGAUAAUACUGGAUAUUAGGCUAUGCCUGGAAUGGUUUGCCUUUGAAAUGUUUUUUCGCCUAAGGAUAGGUCUGCGGCUGAUUAGGUCGUUGGUGGGGUAAUGGCCCACCAAGCCGAUGAUCGGUACGGGUUGUGAGAGCAAGGGCCCGGAGAUGGAACCUGAGACAAGGUUCCAGACCCUACGGGGUGCAGCAGGCGCGAAACCUCCGCAAUGUACGAAAGUGCGACGGGGGGAUCCCAAGUGUUAUACUUUUUUGUAUGACUUUUCAUUAGUGUAAAAAGCUUUUAGAAUAAGAGCUGGGCAAGACCGGUGCCAGCCGCCGCGGUAACACCGGCAGCUCGAGUGGUAGCUGUUUUUAUUGGGCCUAAAGCGUUCGUAGCCGGUUUGAUAAGUCUUUGGUGAAAGCUUGUAGCUUAACUAUAAGAAUUGCUGGAGAUACUAUUAGACUUGAAGUCGGGAGAGGUUAGAGGUACUACCGGGGUAGGGGUGAAAUCCUAUAAUCCUGGGAGGACCACCUGUGGCGAAGGCGUCUAACUGGAACGAUCUUGACGGUGAGUAACGAAAGCCAGGGGCGCGAACCGGAUUAGAUACCCGGGUAGUCCUGGCCGUAAACGAUGUGGACUUGGUGUUGGAAUGGCUUUGAGUUGUUCCGGUGCCGAAGGGAAGCUGUUAAGUCCACCGCCUGGGAAGUACGGUCGCAAGACUGAAACUUAA